rnacentral:rRNA from 1 species
GUAUCAAACAGGAUUAGAUACCCUGGUAGUCCGCACGGUAAGCGAGGAAUACUCGCUGUUUGCGAUAUACUGCAAGCGGCCAAGCGAAAGCGUUAAGUAUUCCACCUGGGGAGUACGCCGGCAACGGUGAAACUCAAAGGAAUUGACGGGGGCCCGCACAAGCGGAGGAACAUGUGGUUUAAUUCGAUGAUACGCGAGGAACCUUACCCGGGCUUAAAUUGCAGAUGAAUUACGGUGAAAGCCGUAAGCCGCAAGGCAUCUGUGAAGGUGCUGCAUGGUUGUCGUCAGCUCGUGCCGUGAGGUGUCGGCUUAAGUGCCAUAACGAGCGCAACCCUUGUUGUCAGUUACUAACAGGUUCCGCUGAGGACUCUGACAAGACUGCCAUCGUAAGAUGUGAGGAAGGUGGGGAUGACGUCAAAUCAGCACGGCCCUUACGUCCGGGGCUACACACGUGUUACAAUGGGGGGUACAGAGGGCCGCUACCACGCGAGUGGAUGCCAAUCCCCAAAACCUCUCUCAGUUCGGGCUGGAGUCUGCAACCCGACUCCACGAAGCUGGAUUCGCUAGUAAUCGCGCAUCAGCCACGGCGCGGUGAAUACGUUCCCGGGCCUUGUACACACCGCCCGUCAAGCCAUGGGAGCCGGGGGUACCUGAAGUGCGUAACCGCGAGGAGCGCCCUAGGGUAAA